AGUCGACGGCAGCACGGACUUCGGUCUGGUGGCGAGUGGCGAACGGGUGAGUAAUAUAUCGGAACGUACCCUGGAGUGGGGGAUAACGCAGCGAAAGUUGCGCUAAUACCGCAUACGAUCUACGGAUGAAAGUGGGGGCUCGCAAGACCUCAUGCUCGUGGAGCGGCCGAUAUCUGAUUAGCUAGUUGGUAGGGUAAAAGCCUACCAAGGCUUCGAUCAGUAGCUGGUCUGAGAGGACGACCAGCCACACUGGGACUGAGACACGGCCCAGACUCCUACGGGAGGCAGCAGUGGGGAAUUUUGGACAAUGGGGGCAACCCUGAUCCAGCAAUGCCGCGUGAGUGAAGAAGGCCUUCGGGUUGUAAAGCUCUUUUGUCAGGGAAGAAACGGUGAAGGCUAAUACUCUUUGCUAAUGACGGUACCUGAAGAAUAAGCACCGGCUAACUACGUGCCAGCAGCCGCGGUAAUACGUAGGGUGCAAGCGUUAAUCGGAAUUACUGGGCGUAAAGCGUGCGCAGGCGGUUAUGUAAGUCAGAUGUGAAAUCCCCGGGCUCAACCUGGGAAUGGCAUUUGAGACUGCAUGGCUAGAGUGUGU
rnacentral:rRNA from 1 species